GUUUAUUUUGUAGAUGAGUAGUAGGUGAAGUGAAGGUGAAGCUAUAUUAUGUUACCACUGUCAUCAGACCACCAAAGAGUGUAACAACGGUGUUUUAAGUUCGAUAAAACAGAAGAAUUGUACAGAAGAUAAAUGUGCCAUUAUUAAAUAUGAAACUCUAAUGCCCGGUAGGAACGUUCUGGCCACCAUGAGGGACUGCGUACUUCGAGAUGCCGAAGAACUGUCAGAAAAA
rnacentral:misc_RNA from 1 species